GGGUUUGCCAAGGAGAUCGCGGCAGGUCCUGCGCCUGUCGAGGAAAGUCCGCACUCCACAGGGUAACGAUGCCGGCUAACCGCCGGGCAGGGCGACCUGACGGCAAGUGCAACAGAGAACAGAUUGCAGCGCGAGCUGUGAGGGUGAAAAGGCGCGGUAAGAGCGCACCGGACGCGGCAGCAAUGUCGCGUGCCAGGCAAACCCCAUCGGGAGCAAGGUGAAGCAGGCGCAAUUGGAGGGGCCCCUUCUGCAAAAAGCGCCGGGUGCACCGCUAGAGGUCGUCGGCAACGGCGACCCCAGAUAGAUGAUCUCCCCGUCUGCGGACGGACAGAAUGCGGCUUAUGCGGCAGACCCGGAU
rnacentral:RNase_P_RNA from 2 species